CGUGUAGGCGGGAAGAUAAGUCAGAUGUGAAAUUCCGGGGCUCAACCCCGGCACUGCAUCUGAAACUAUUUUUCUUGAGUGCUGGAGAGGAAAGCGGAAUUCCUAGUGUAGCGGUGAAAUGCGUAGAUAUUAGGAGGAACACCAGUGGCGAAGGCGGCUUUCUGGACAGUAACUGACGCUGAGGCGCGAAAGCGUGGGAGCAAACA
rnacentral:rRNA from 1 species